AUUGAACGCUGGCGGCAUGCCUUACACAUGCAAGUCGAACGGCAGCACGGGUGCUUGCACCUGGUGGCGAGUGGCGAACGGGUGUGUAAUACAUCGGAACAUGUCCUGUAGUGGGGGAUAGCCCGGCGAAAGCCGGAUUAAUACCGCAUACGAUCUACGGAUUAAAGCGGGGGACCUUCGGGCCUCGCGCUAUAGUGUUGGCCGAUGGCUGAUUAGCUAGUUGGUGGGGUAAAGGCCUACCAAGGCGACGAUCAGUAGCUGGUCUGAGAGGACGACCAGCAAAAAUGGGAAUGAGACACGGCCCAGAAUAAUAAGGGAGGGAGCAGUGGGGAAUUUUGGAAAAUGGGCGAAAGACUGAUCAAGAAAUGCCGGGUGUGGGAAGAAGGAAUUCGGGUUGUAAAGCACGUUUGUCCGGAAAGAAAUCAUUGGACCUAAUACGGUCGGGGGGAUGACGGUACCGGAAGAAUAAGCACCGGCUAACUACGUG
rnacentral:rRNA from 1 species